CAACAACGAUCAGAAAAAAAAUCCCGAACAGUUUUCUAGUUUCCCCCUUCUCCCCCGUCGGCUGUCGAUGCGUUCGAGCUUUCGCACGACCGGCCGUCGCCGCCUCAGACCACCUCUCAGAGCUCCCUCCGCCGCUGUCCUCUUCGCAGGCAUUCAGCACCCGUCCUCCUCCCAUCCUGCGUCGCCGCUUUCAUCCCCACCGUGACUAAGCCGCCGCCCUAACCCCAUCUAGACUGCGUCGCCGCUUUCAUCCCCACCGCGACUGAGCCGCCGCCCUAACCCCAUCUAGACUGCGCCACCGCCUUCAUUCCCAUCGCGAUCAAGCCGCAGCUGUCCUAUUCCGAGAAAUUUGUCCAUUUGCAAAGCAGGCAAGAACAUUUCAAGGAGUUUCAGCAUUCUGAUUCUGAUCAUUUUCAGUAUUAUUUGGGUAUAUUGGCAUUUGCUUUUGGUGAUCCAUGCUUCCUUUAGUCUGCCAGAUUGAUCGACUUGUUUAAAUGUCUUCUGACGCACCUGCACAGAGGCUCUCCACGAAGUAAAUUUUCAAGCUGGCAACGUAGCGAGCUCAUGUAAAUGUUUACUUUGGUUCUACAAGUGCUGAAGGUGCUCUUUUGAUGAGGCGGUAGCUCUAGGCAAGAUUAGCACAUGCCAGAUCACGAAAGCGAGGAGUUAAUCUUUCAGCGUACCCUUCUAAUUGUAAAUGGUUCAACGACAUUUUUGGUAUCAAAUUUCGUAUAUUUUCAUCGUUCUUACAAGAUCAGAAGUUUCAGUUUUUUCUUUAAUUCAUGUAAGUCCGUUCUUGAGAUGGAUGAACAUGGCAAAGGAAUUAAUUGUUUGUAAGCUUGCUGCAA